UAUAAUCUGAACUUAAAAGUGCAAAUGAACGACGUCCCCUCCAAAUGCAGGCGAGGAAGCUCUGCGGCGGGGCUGGACGGUCGGCGAUGUGCGACAUAAGAGUCGGCAGGCCAGGAAGAUCUGCGGCGGGGCUGGACGCUCAACGGCGGGGUUUGGAGUCCGAGAGGCACGACAUAACGGCUAAACGAUUGUGUAAAGUUUUCCUAUAAAAGAUCACACGUCCUUUUAACUGUUAAAUAAGUUCACAGUUAAGCGCGAAUAAUAGUGCAAAGCAUGUUAAUUACAGAACAAUAUUUUUCAAAAGAGUGCAAAGAAGCUUGUAAGAGUGCAAUACGGGGAAAUAACAGUGUAAUGGAUUUUAUCUACGAGUGCAACGAAACAUGUAAGAGUGCAAUACGGUUGUAAUACCAGUGCAAUUUUUUGGAACAGACUCAUACUAAGCUUUUAAGAGCUUUAAGUGGUGUAACUCAGAUCAAAAGAGUUCAAGAUUCUCCGCUUAAGCGUGUAACAGUACGAUAUGUAGCACAAAGUUUUCACAGAAUUGGUGUUAAUAUGAACAUAAUAGUGCAAAAAUGGUCGAAAUUUAUAUUAUACUAUGAUAUAAACAAUGCAUCCGUAGCUGGUAAAUAGUGUAACAAAUUCCUAAGCAGUACAUUAAUUUGUGAACAAGAAUUACAUUUUCUUUAAAGCCGAGUACACGAUUUUGUAGAAGUUUGGAAAAUACAAAAAGGAUUUGAAUACAAUGCAAAAUUCUAUUACAUCAAAUAUAACAAAUUGAACAUAAUAUAAAAUAUUUAACAGAAAUAUGUAAUCAUCGAAGCUUGUCUGCAAUUCCACGCGCACAUAGCCUAAAGUAACAGGUAUAGGCCAGGGGAGAUUCCGCAGGAGACUGCGAGGAGGAGAUUGCGAGGAGGAGACUGCGAGGAGGAGACUGCCGAAGGAGACUGCGACGAAGAGGAGGGUCGUUCGGAAGGGUAGAUCCAGCAACGAGGCGUUAAGAUUGAUUUGCACUAUCUGGAGUGCUUUAUUUGCCUCAAGCCCUUUGGAGCUCCGCUCUACCAUGAAACAGACAGUUCAAUCAGCAAACAUAAGAAUCCAUCAAUAACAAUAAAGAUCUGCAAGAAUUUAAGAACCUGUAUGAGAAGAGGGCCAAUGGGCUCGUGGCAAAUAAAGCACUCCAGAUAGUGCGAAUCAAUCUUAACGCCUCAUUGCUGGAUGGUACCCUUCGGAGCGAGCCGCCUACUCCACGAACUCUGCUUCGGCUCACUUCGGAGCGACCCGCCUACUCCUCGAACUCUCCUUCGGCUAUCUACUGUUGUUGCCUAAACGUCAUGGACGAACUGUAGCCGGGUACCAGUCAUUGUGGCGCCUACCCUGCCGUACGGUCUGGCGCGCAUUAAAUGACCCGCUUCCGCCUUACGCAAUCUCGCUCAUUUCUCUGAACCCGGACCACAUCCGGCCCCGCUAUUCGCCGGCCCCGCUAUUUCCUGUUCGGCUUUAAGACUUUAAUACAAUUACUCACGAUAAAUGACAAAAUCUGCAAGGGCCGCAACAAGGAUAAUAGUGCAACGCAAGGUACAACGCCAGGAGAAAUGAUGCAACCGACCACUAUAACAGUGCAUCCUAGCCUCGUUCCAGUGCAACCAAACCAUAAUCAGUCAAAAAUUUACUUUCUCCAUUUCUUAAUAUAAUCUGAACUUAAAAGUGCAAAUGAACGGCGUCCCCUCCAAAUGCAGACGAGGAAGCUCUGCGACGGGGCUGGACGGUCGGCGAUGUGCGACAUAAGAGUCGGCAGGCCAGGAAGAUCUGCGGCGGGGCUGGACGCUCGCCGGCGGGGUUCAGGGUUCGAGAGGCGCGACAUAACGGCUAAACGAUUGUGUAAAGUUUUCCUAUAAAAGAUCACGCGUCCUUUUAACUGUUAAAUAAGUUCACAGUUAAGCGCGAAUAAUAGUUCAAGGCAGUGUUAAUUACAGAACAAUAUUUUUCAAAAGAGUGCAAAGAAGCUUGUAAGAGUGCAAUACGGGGAAAUAACAGUGUAAUGGAUUUUAUCUACGAGUGCAACGAAACAUGUAAGAGUGCAAUACGGUAGUAAUACCAGUGCAAUUUUUUGGAACGGACUCGUACUAAGCUUUUAAGAGUGCAAUACGGUAGUAUUCCUCAGCGUAUUCCUCAACGGAUGUAUACCAUGCCGUACUGUCUGGUGCUCAUUAAAUGCGCCGCGUCCGCUGUACGCAACCCAACCUCCCUCGAUCAUUACUCGGAACUUGAACCACAUCUGCCCCCGCUAUUCGCCGGCCCUGCUGUUUCCUUUUCGAAAGCUAUUGACAAAUAGUGCGCGCCCCGAUAAUAGUGCAACGCGAAGAGCUACGAAAGGAAAAAUGGUGCAACAGACGUCAAUAACAGUGCAACCGCAUUUGUAACAGUCCAAAGUUUACUUAUUUUAUUUUUAAUUUAAUCUUAAGGUAAUAGUGCAAAUGAAAGGACAUGGUUACGUCGAAUAUAGCGGUGUGAAGUAGGAGGAGGCUCCACCACCUCUUUAUUGCCGCCGCCGCCGCGGCGCUAUACCUCCGCGCGCCAGGGUUAAUAGUGCAAGGCGAAGGCUCUGCGGCAGGAGAAACGGUGGAACAAACCUUCUAACAUGCAACCGUAGCGUCGUUCCAGUGCAAGGAGACUGCUAGGAUGAGGAGGAGGGUCGAUCGAAAGGUUACGAUCCAGCAACGAGGCGAUCUGAAAGAACGAUCCAGCAACGAGGCGUUAGGGUUGAUUCGCACUAUCUGGAAUGUUUCAUUUGUUUUGGGCAAUUUGGAGCUCCGCUCUACCAUGAAAAAGACAGUACAGACAGAAAAAUAUAGAACUAAUUUCAUAAGGGUGUAACUAUGUCACAAUAAUAGUGCAACGUAGGGUAAAAAAGUAGAACUAAGUUCAUAAGGGUGCAACUAUGUCACAAUAAUAGUGCAAUGGAUUCAUGGAACAGCAAACACACGGUCUGGCGAAUAGCGUGGAUAUACGCUCCAGCAAACACACGCGCGCAUUUAAUGCUGGUAAAAGUACGUAGCGUAGCGUCUACGUUAUAGCGUCUCUUCUGUGAGGAUAGGAGACACCGGCGGUUAUAUCGAAGCUGCCUCGGGGAAAGUAAAAGCGACUAUUUCGAAUUUUACUCGUAAAGGCGUUGCACUGUUAUGACGAAUGUUACUCUAAUAUCUCCCCAGUAUUGCACUUUUUUUGCAUUUUGUUACUUAACGUUGCACUAUUAUUACAGCAAUUGUUGCACUAUUUUUAUACGAUUGAAUGAUUUAUUGAUAUUUUAAAGUGAUGUUACAGUAAUACGGCUCUUCAGGUGAGCAUUAGCCACUUUCUGUUCACGACGAAAACUAAUAUUUCGCGAGCAUUAAUAGUCGGUUACCUAAAUGGUUACGCAACGUAGGGUAAAGGAGUACCUCGACUCUAUUCCUCAAAUGCCUGUUCGUUUUCUAUAAAAGCACUCUCCAGGCACUUGGGCAACCGGCGACGAGGAAACAGCGAUGAUGGAGGUACACGAGACGAGAGGAGAGACCCGCAGGAGACGUCGACGAAGAAGAGGCUCGGUCGUAAGUGUAUCAUCCAGUAAGGAGGCGUUAAGAUUGAUUCGCACUAUCUGAAGUACUGUGCUUUAUUUGCGACGAGGUACCACCCUAUACCAGGUUCUUAAAUUCUUCCAGAUCUUUAUUCUUAUCGAUAGAUUCUAAAUUUAUCCUGACUAUACUGUCUCUUUACGAACAAUGUAGUGCCAAAACGUCAAUGCCAAAGUCCCUAGUGCAAAUAAAGCUCCGACAUACCC
rnacentral:lncRNA from 1 species